rnacentral:lncRNA from 1 species
GCAUUUUCCAAUAUUGCUAUGAAAGGUGGAGUAUAAUGUGUAAGAAAGAAAAAUACAAAUUUGAUGAAAUGGAAAGUAGUCUAUGAACAGGGUAUGAAGGGCUGUAGGCCAGCUAAGGGAAGCAAGGAGCAUGAUCAUAACACCCCAGAUAUCUUUAUGCCUCAUCUGCCUUCUUUCCUCUUCUACUUUGAUCUCUGCCCAUGAUCAAAUCCACAAAUCAAGAUAUUUCCACCUAAGAUAUAGCCAAAAAACUGGUGGCAGUGUGAUCAAAUCCUAGAGUGCUCCCAUAAAGAUGUCUCACCUGUGAAUACAGCCUUGUGAUUGUGUCAUAUCUGAUGGCAAAGUUGGCCUAAAGAUGGGAGAAGCUAACCUGGGUGGGUCUGAUUUAAUCACAGGAGACCUUUCAGAGGGCUUUUCCAUCUGGAGACUGAUGUCAGAGAGAUAUGAAGAGUGAAGGGGAUUUGACUUGAAGAUGCAGGAGGCCACACAAGAAAGAAUUCAAACAACCUUAAAGAGAAAGGCAUCCUGGCCAACAACCAUCAAGGAAGCCAGGCUGUUAGUCCUAUGACUACAAGAGACUGAAUUCUGCCCAUGACCUCAGUGGGCCUGGAAGUGAUGUCCAUUCAGAGUCUGCAGAUGAAGGCUCAGCUUGGCUCACAGCUUGAGUCCCUCUUUAUGAUCCCUGGAACAGAGAAUGGAGCGACACUGAGCAGGACUUCCAGCCUACAGGACUGUGAAUUAAUAAACAGAUGUUGUUAGAAGCUUCUAAGUGUAUGGUAAUUUGUUGCACAGUGAGAGACACAUAAAAUGAGAAGUAAUUUGAGUGACAGUGAAGAGUCAUCUUAUGAGCCAGCAAAUGUGAAGAUGUCUGAGAAGGAUGUUGCCAACUGUGGUCUAAAGGAAAGUGAAGGGAUAAAGGGAUCAUCUAACAUUUUCUGGGGGGGAGAGGGGGAGAAGUGGAGGAGUAAGAAGACGAAUAUAAGAAAGAAAUCAGGAGCAGGGAAAUAGGAGUAGAAUGAAUGAAACCACGUGUCUGUCUGCAUGUGAAUAUAUGUAGGACAAGUGCAG